GACGAACCCUUGCGGCGUGCUUAACACAUGCAAGUCGAACGGAAAGGCCCUGCUUUUGUGGGGUGCUCGAGUGGCGAACGGGUGAGUAACACGUGAGUAACCUGCCCUUGACUUUGGGAUAACUUCAGGAAACUGGGGCUAAUACCGGAUAGGAGCUCCUGCUGCAUGGUGGGGGUUGGAAAGUUUCGGCGGUUGGGGAUGGACUCGCGGCUUAUCAGCUUGUUGGUGGGGUAGUGGCUUACCAAGGCUUUGACGGGUAGCCGGCCUGAGAGGGUGACCGGCCACAUUGGGACUGAGAUACGGCCCAGACUCCUACGGGAGGCAGCAGUGGGGAAUAUUGCACAAUGGGCGGAAGCCUGAUGCAGCAACGCCGCGUGCGGGAUGACGGCCUUCGGGCUGUAAACCGCUUUCGCCUGUGACGAAGCGUGAGUGACGGUAAUGGGUAAAGAAGCACCGGCUAACUACGUGCCAGCAGCCGCGGUGAUACGUAGGGUGCGAGCGUUGUCCGGAUUUAUUGGGCGUAAAGGGCUCGUAGGUGGUUGAUCGCGUCGGAAGUGUAAUCUUGGGGCUUAACCCUGAGCGUGCUUUCGAUACGGGUUGACUUGAGGAAGGUAGGGGAGAAUGGAAUUCCUGGUGGAGCGGUGGAAUGCGCAGAUAUCAGGAGGAACACCAGUGGCGAAGGCGGUUCUCUGGGCCUUUCCUGACGCUGAGGAGCGAAAGCGUGGGGAGCGAACAGGCUUAGAUACCCUGGUAGUCCACGCUGUAAACGGUGGGUACUAGGUGUGGGGUCCAUUCCACGGGUUCCGUGCCGUAGCUAACGCUUUAAGUACCCCGCCUGGGGAGUACGGCCGCAAGGCUAAAACUCAAAGGAACUGACGGGGCCCCGCACAAGCGGCGGAGCAUGCGGAUUAAUUCGAUGCAACGCGUAGAACCUUACCUGGGUUUGACAUGGAUCGGGAGUGCUCAGAGAUGGGUGUGCCUCUUUUGGGGUCGGUUCACAGGUGGUGCAUGGCUGUCGUCAGCUCGUGUCGUGAGAUGUUGGGUUAAGUCCCGCAACGAGCGCAACCCUUGUUCACUGUUGCCAGCACGUUAUGGUGGGGACUCAGUGGAGACCGCCGGGGUCAACUCGGAGGAAGGUGGGGAUGACGUCAAGUCAUCAUGCCCCUUAUGUCCAGGGCUUCACGCAUGCUACAAUGGCUGGUACAGAGAGUGGCGAGCCUGUGAGGGUGAGCGAAUCUCGGAAAGCCGGUCUCAGUUCGGAUUGGGGUCUGCAACUCGACCUCAUGAAGUCGGAGUCGCUAGUAAUCGCAGAUCAGCAACGCUGCGGUGAAUACGUUCCCGGGGCU
rnacentral:rRNA from 1 species